GGCAGCGGCAGGGCCAGGGAAGGGUGUUAAGUUGAGGCUCUUAAUGCUACCACCCCUCGCAUCUUCCUCUAGGCUUUUGUGGCUUUGCCCGCCCAGCUGCUCUGUGCCAGGAGGAGGAGGAGACACCUGGAGCCUGUGACACCACGGCUUGCCUCGCUGAGGGUGUGUGGCAGUGACGGAGACUGCAGCGUGCUGGAACGGCUUUUGUGGCUUUGCCCGCCCAGCUGCUCUGUGCCAGGAGGAGGAGACACCUGGAGCCUGUGACACCAUGGCUUGCCUCGCUGAGGGUGGCUGGCAGUGACGGAGACUGCAGCGUGCUGGAACGGCUUUUGUGGCUUUGCCCGCCCAGCUGCUCUGUGCCAGGAGGAGGAGGAGACACCUGGAGCCUGUGACACCACGGCUUGCCUCGCUGAGGGGAUAUCAGACAUUAAUGAACCAGUUAAGAAGAUACUGGGAUGCAGAAGAACUUUCCCAGUGUCCCGGGAGCCGUUCUACACAACAUCCUACACCAUGGCUUUGGAUCUGCUGUGCUUCAUUUCUUUACUUGUGAAAACAGAGUAACAGUAGCACCUGCCUCACAGGAUGGUUCUGAAGAUUAGAGGGUUCUUUCAUGCAGAGCUCUAGAGCAGCUUGAAUGGUAUUGGUUUGGGAAAAAUGGACGGAAUUUUCUGAGCUCACCACUUGUCAGCACAGAACGCUUUAAAACAACAUAAAGCAAAAUGUUGCCAAGUAUUUCAAUAAAAAAUAACCUAAAGUAAUCUGCUUAUGUAAAAUACAAUGUGGAAUGCCUACCCUUUGAGAGUUCUUAAAGAUUCCACCUUCACAAUUUAUAUGAUAUUAAACACUGAUGUGCUACGUAAAUUGAUUUGACUGCUAUCCUUUUUCAUUCAAAGAUGCCCUGUUGAAUUCUCUUUUGGCCCUUAGAAAUGCUGCCCUGAAGAGACUUCAAGGUUUUAAUGGAAAUGCCAUUUCCCGUAAGAAAAUUGAAUUUUAAAUCUAACUAUCCUACUUACUAAGUACAAGAUAUUGGGCAAGUUACUUUACUUUUAAAUGCUUCACCUUUUUUCUCUGUAGAAUUUUGGGUUGAAAUGCCCAUCACAAAGGGCUAUUAUAAAAGUGAGAUUGAAUGAUGGUAUAAAGCCAAGAGUAUGAUGCCUCUUCCAUAGUAGUUGCUUAGUUAAGUGUUAACUCUCCUCUUCCUCCUCUGUCUUUGGCCUUGGAGAUUAGCUGAGAUGCUAAAGAGAGAAGUCCUAUGUUAUUAAUAUGUAUGUACUGGAUAGUGAAGAUAAAUAUCUCAGAGGUGAAGAGGCCUCAGGUUACAAAAUCUGUGUUUGUGUUUUAACAAUUAGUGGUGAUGAACAUGUUCUUUCAGUCCUGUUGGUGUAUGUAUGUAACAUCACAUUUGGAGAAAACAUUAGAAGUCCAGAUUUGCAUGAGAAUCCUGACUUAACUGACACUCUUGCACUCUCCAUGAUAGGCCCUGAUCACAGGGUCCUUUGUUACAUUUCAAAGGUGGAUUUUUUAAAAAAUACCUCUAUUGAGGCAUCAUUUAUUUCACAAAAGUCACCCACUUUAAAAAAGAUUCAAUUAUUUUUAGCAUAUUUAUAAAACUAUCAUUGAAAUCAGUGUUAGAACAUUUCUACCACUCCCAAAAUCUUCCUUGUACCUAUUUGCAGUCAGUACCUGUUCUCACAUCCAGCCCCAGGAUAACACUAAUCUAUUUUAUGUCUUUUUAGAUUUACCUUUUUCAGAGGUUAAUUUUUCUGGAGGCUUUAUUCACUUGGAUUCACAUUGGUUGGAAGAAUGCAUGAGACCAGAUUUGUUGGUAGUACUGACACAGUAAUUGCUGUUGGCUUCCUGGUGAUGGAAAUGAGCUUCUUUGCAGCUGCUCUGGGAGCUCCCAGUCUUAUUGAUGAGAAAUAGUACCAGAAACCAACUAGCCUGGGACCUGUAUCAGUCAGGGUCCAGGCAGGAAACAGAAACCACUGCAAUCAUUUUAACAGAAAGAAUUUAAUAUAAACCAUUGCCAAAGGGCAUCGAAUAAUUGAAAGAUAAACAGAGAGAAUUAAAGUAUUAUAGAAGGGUACAACAGCAGGAAUUAACUACCAGCUCCUGGGUUGAGAAACAAAGGCAAAUAAUGGAAUUAUCACAAUUUAGAAGUUUGGAGGAGGGUAUCUCUGGGGGUGGGACCCAUGAACUUGAGGGGAUGGAAACAGACAAUUGGCGCUGAUGCCCCUUAGUGAAUGCAAGCUAGAUUUAACUGAAUUCAAAUUCUGCUAUUGGAACAACAACUGCUUCUGAUUGACCUGAAGCAGUUAACUGCAAGCUAGAUUUAACUGAAUUCAAAUUCUGCUACUGGAACAACAACUGCUUCUGAAGUCAUUGUUAAGAUGAUGCUUAUAGUAAUGGAAAACCGAAAGGAAACAGACCUCAGUGAACAUCUUUCUUUUCCUUUGGCAGAAUUUAACGGGGAGCAGAGGGCAAAGCAGAAAGGUGGUUCACAGAGCCUGAGAUUGAUCAUAAUAUUGGAAGACACAGUCCUACAGGCUAUAUUCCCAAAUGUUGAAAUCGCAAAGAUCAAAAUCUCUUAAAGUUUAAAAUUCCUGGUGUCCAAAAUCCUGAUAAUCACAGUCACAAGACAGUUGCAUCAUGUUAGGCGGAGCUAUUACCUUGUUACUGUCCUUACACAGAAGAAAAUAGAUUUCAAUUGAAUCCCCAAACCAUAAUGACAGAUUUGGAACUAGGAAUGACCAAGGCUGCUAAAAGAGAAUGUGAAAGUAUUACCAGUAAGGUGUGUUUUUUCCAUUGAGCCCAAAGCAUUUGGCAGAAAAUUCAGACGAGUUGAUUGACCAUGAUGUACAGCAAUGACAAAAACUUCAGUUUAAAAAAUGCAUCAUUUGCCCGCAUUGACAUUCCUUUCAGCAGAUGACAUUUCAGGAACUUUUAAUAAAUUAAAGCCACAUUUGUUGAGGAAGCCAGCAAAGCUACUGGCUGGUUCAAAAAUAAUUAUAUGCAUGGUAGGAUAAGAAGACACUUAUACAGUGGUGUUACUAUUUGAUCACUAGUAUUAUUUCUGCCAAAUUGGUCUAUGUAUAAACGCAUGUAGAAUGGAUUUCUACAUACCCAAAACAACAUAGAAGCAUGACACUGAAGGUAGGAAGAUUUAAUAGGGAAUGCCUGUUUUGGUGUAUAUGGAAUCAUAGAAGAAUUUUGAAAAGAGCAGCACCAUGUAGAAAAUGAAUAUUCUCUGAGGAAGGCCAAGUCCUAAAAGAAAAAAAGCAGUUGUUCAUUGUGAUACAAGACUUCAAUGUAUAUUUAAUGAUCAUGAAAUCCAGCCAUCCCUUAGUGAACUAUCUCCCUGCAAUUGCCCAUAAUUUUUCCCUGUAAUACACUAUUUCAUAUGACAGAUUUCCUUUUUAGUUUUUCCUUUUCUUUUUCUCACUAUUUUAAAUUUUCAAAAUAUAUCUUACAAUUUGCUAUGCUACAUAUUUUAUCUUGCAUUAUUUUCAAUACUGGAAAUAUAAAUUAUGUAAGGACUUUUAGAGAGUUCUAAUUUGUUUUAUGCAUUUUUUUUUUUUUUUUUGCAAAUUUGACUUCAUGAAAGUGCUUUAUCACAAUGUGACUUUGUUUGCAAGCUUUGUGUAUGUAUGUAAAAAUGUUGGAACUGUCUCAAUAAAUAAAGAUAUGUCCAUACAUCUGCAUUUGUGUAAGAUACAAUUCUCAAAAUCUUGGCUCUUCAGACAACUGCAUAUGUGGUGGUGAUUCAUCACAACUUUUGCUCCAUCUGAUCAGAAGACUUGGGUUUUUAGUCAUGGCAUUUCAGAUGACUGUAACUCUAAAGCUGGGUAUACACAUUACCAACUAUAGUGAUACGUGUUUAUACCUUUCAAUUUUUGACUCAUUUCUUUGUGAGUACAGUUCACCUGCUCAUAACAGUCAUACCCAUGUGACUGUCAUUGGUAUACCUGAGUGCUUAUGCUUGCAAAAAUAUGUAUGUUAUUUUGACUACUUUAUUGUGUAAAGUGAUCUAUGAAGUGUUUUGUCAUGUUUUUAUAUGUUUCUCAAAUCCCCUUUAAAAUGCAAAUAUCUUUUAAAUAAUUUUAAAAUUAUUUUUCCCAGAAUUAUAUUUUUGGACUUGUGAUCUUUCAGAUUUUUGACAUUUGAGAUUAUGGUGUUUGGGAAUUGUGUCCUUCAGGAUUAUCAGAAGCUCCUAAAAUCCACCAUUCAGCCCAUUACAAUGUUCUAUAGAGCUGAUUCUUUAACCUAUGGACCUCCAGUUGCAGUUUCCCACUAGUACCUUGAUACAAAUCAUAUCUCACAGAAUUAAUAUAAAAUAAAAACUGAUUUAUAUUUUUCAAAUAUUUUAACUAAACAUGCAUAAUUAGAUAUGUCAUGGGCCAAAGUUGGCUGAGUUAAUAAUUCUUGAACAAGGUAAAUGAGUUUGCAUUUGAGUCAAUGUUGAGAUUGUACACCUAUUAUUCUGAAUAAAUGGUUAUAAAAAUGA